rnacentral:rRNA from 1 species
GCCUGACAACCCAACCAGAUUUUAGGUAGUUACCUCUGUCGCUUGCCGCCCGCUGCCCGCCUCCCCCCCUUCGCUCCGCCACAUCUUCCGCCCGCUCGAACUCCUAGCGGUAGGAUAUAUCUGCCGCUUCCCCCUGGCUCCUUGCGCUUGUACUGUAUCUUCCUCCUCCCCGGUCCGUCGGUUCAUCCCCCUCGCCCCCUACUCCCCUUUCGGCUCGAGUUAGAUCAUCCAUCGGCUGUAAAGCGGGCGGGAGGCUUGGCUUCCGCGCGCGGGACGGGGCUCGCUUUCCGGGAGGCCGCCCCUGCGACGACAGCCGCGCCAUUUUCUAUUCCAGCGGAGGGAGGGGGAGGUUCCGGGUCGUAGUGGUGCUGCAUUGGCUGCGGUAAGCGGGGCUCGUAUCGGCCAACGGGGGAGGUCCACGGCGGUUAGUAGUUGAGCCGCCGACUGCGUGCUGUGGCGAGUGUUAUCUAUCGAUCGCCAUGGGGGGCAAGUGUGGUUCCUGGUGAUUCUCUCGAGCUGCCACUGGUGGGGGGAGCAUGGCGGGGGAGGGCGUCGGGCGGUGCAUACUGGUGGGGCUGCACAUGGACGCCGUCGGCAAGGAGCUUCUGCAGUGGGCGCUCAACCAGGCGGCCAGGAGCGGCGACCGCGUCGUCGCCGUCCACAUUUACCGCAAAUCCGGAGACCUGUGCAAGACGAACGCGCUGACGCUGAUCAGGACGCUGGACGACUACCUGGCGGAGUACGAGGCCAUCUGCAGCAAGAAAGACAUCGUCCUCGUGGGGCGGGUCACGCCGGGGAGCUCGAUCCAGAAGGUGCUGGUGAAGGAGGCCAAGCUCUGCGCGGCCAUGGUGGUGGUGAUCGGCGCCAACAAGAAGUACUCCUUCGGUGGCUCGACCGGCCUCGCCAAGUACUGCGCCAGGAAGCUCCCGGCGACGACCAGCGUCGUCGCCAUCCAGGGCGGCAAGGCCAUCUUCGUCAGGGAGGCCCCCCGGCCGCCACUUGGAGCAGAGCCCAAGCCGGUGCUCCGCACGCUGCUGCACCCCAGCGUCGGCAUGGAGCCCAAGGUGAUCAUCCCCAACCCCAACCGCCGGAGCGCGCGGUCCAUGGACUUCGACGCCACGGGCUGCGGCCAGUGCGCCGCGCCGCCGCAGCCCAAGAAGCCCUGCGACGACCACGACGCCGCCGACGCCAAGGCCCUCGUCGUGCGCGUGCCGGCGCCAGAGCAGAAGCUCGGCUGGCCUUUGCUCCGGCGCGCGCCUCCCGCAGCGCAGGCCACGACGAGAGACCACGAGACGACGCGCAAGCAGUCGGUGGUGCACUGGGUGAUGAGCCUGCCGCGGCGCUCCUCGCCGUCGGCGUCCCCGGAACCGGCGCAGGAGGGGCUGGCGGCCGAGCUGAGGCGGGCGCUCGCCGGCGCGCCGUCCCGGUGCCGGUGGUUCCGGUACGAGGAGCUGUACGACGCCACGAACCACUUCUCCCCCGGCAACCUGGUGGGCAAGGGCGCGCACAGCCGGGUGUACCGGGGCGGGCUGGCGAGCGGGCAGCGGGUGGCGAUCAAGCUGUGCCGGGCGUCGGCGGAGGCGUCCAAGGACUUCCUCCGGGAGGUGGACAUCAUCACCAAGCUGCAGCACGGCCGCAUCGUGCCGCUCGUCGGCGUCUGCGUGGAAGGCCCCAACCUCAUCUCCGUCUACCGCUACCUCCCCCGCGGCAGCCUCGAGGACAACCUGCACGGGAAGAAGAGGUCGAAGCCGGCGCUGCCGUGGGAGAAGAGGUACCGGGCGGCGGUCGGGGUGGCCGAGGCCCUGAGCUACGUGCACUCCGGCUGCUCGCGGCCGGUGAUCCACCGCGACGUCAAGUCCUCCAACAUCCUCCUCACGGACGACUUCGAGCCCCAGUUGUCCGAUUUCGGGCUCGCGAUCUGGGCGCCGUCCAGCCCGUCGUCCCUCACGCACAGCGACGUCGUCGGCACCUUCGGAUACGUCUUCUUCUUGUACACAGACACGGACGAGUCUCUUUCGGUCUGAAGUGGCGCCGUGUUGGGGUGACGAAGAUCAAAAUCCUUGCGGGCGCAGGUACCUAGCGCCGGAGUACUUCAUGUACGGGAAGGUGACGGACAAGGUGGACGUGUACGCGUUCGGGGUGGUGCUGCUGGAGCUCCUCACCGGGCGGAGGCCCAUCACCGGCGACGGCUCACCGAAGGGCCACCACCAAAGUCUCGUCAUGUGGGCGACUCCGAUCCUCAACGGCGGCGACAUCUCCGACCUGCUGGACCCGAGCCUGGACGUGAAGCACGACGAGGUGGAGGUGCGGCGAAUGGGCGUCGCGGCGUCGCUCUGCCUCGGGAGGUCGGCGCGCCUUAGGCCCCCGAUAUCGCAGAUUCUGAGCAUACUACGAGGAGAAGAGGACGCGACGAGCUUGGCGGCGUCGGAGCCGGACUGCGUGGUGGACGACGAGACCUACCCGGCGGCCAACGUGAGGUCGCACCUAGGGCUGGCGCUGCUGGACGUGGAGGACGCCGAGUCCAUCUCCAGCACCGAGCACACCAACCUCAGCCCGCUCGAGGAGUACCUCAGAGAACGCUGCAGCCGAUCAUCCAGCUUCGAUUGACCUUUGAUUUUUUUUCCCUUUUCUUCUCCUUUUUGGAUGAGUUUGGUUGUCUUUUGUUGAGUUACAAACUCAUGUACAUAACAUAAACAAAGCAGGUGCCACAUUUCCGGCACCCAGGGACAUGAUAGCCAAUAGAUAUGCCACCCACAGAGAAAAAACAAAGUGAAAAAUGGAACGGAUGCCUUUCAGUGUGCCUGAUGCUGUAAUUCGGACACAAAGCCACGAUUCCUCUCAGUUUAUCUGAAUGAUGUAUUCAUUUCAGGGGUAACAAGAUUGUCAUACAACAUUACAAUAACCUUAAAACUCAAGGUUCAAGGUUGUCCGUAGAUCAAUUGCUUGGAAACCAAAAAUAGAUUAACAACACUACAGAAGGUUGCCAAAUCCAUCGUCCUGGAAAAGAAAAACUAGGAAACAAAGCUGGAAAACUGCCGUGGGGGAACACUAUCUCCCACACCGGCACAGCUAUCUCCCAACAUCUCUUCUACUUCUCAUCUAACCUCAGUCUUCCUACACAAACCUAAAAGGGAACAACAUAUGGCAACUGAUACAUAUGAAGGUCAGGCAGAUGAAUAGCCCUUGGUUGCCAUGAAAACUCCACCUCCAUGGGCGCCAAACCAUCACUUGCCUUGCAGCUGCUGUUGCUGGCAUCAGGUUUCUUUGCACCGCCGAGCAACCAAUCCUGGUCGCCGAGAUUCCCGGUCUCCUCAACCUCCAAGGAAGGUGGAUUCCAGGUAACAAAAAGAUCUCGGAAUUUCCUCUCUUUCUUCUCUUCCUUCUCAGCCUUGCGGCUCUUCUUACGAUCAGACUUUGACUGCUUAACCUCUGGUAUUUUUUCAGUCUUCCUGCCAGAGGAACAAGGCUCUUCUUUCGCCAAGGUGCUUGACUGCUGCUGUUUGAUGAGGGGAGAGACUACAGGCACCUUCGGUUUGUGCAGAACGGGCUGCAGCUGCCUGUCUGGCUGGUGGGAAGAAGCAACUUUUAUUGUUUCCUUCGGCAACACAGGCAAACUCUGUGGAGGAGCAUCUCUUCGGAGCACCUUGGAUGGCACCAGAGGAUCAACCUUUUGCAGCGCCUUUGCAGGAGGAAUGUCAAUAACCUUGGCAGGAGGAAUGUCGACUCUCUGUGCCGCCUUGGCAGGAGGAAUGUCGACUCUCUGUGCCACCUUAGCAGGUGGAGGAACAACUCGUCGUGUCAGCUGCGUAGGCAAAGGAUCAGCACUUCCUUUCACCUUGGCAGAUGAAGGUGUAGCAUUAACGGGCACCCAGGAAUCUAUCUUUUGCAUGAUCUUUGCUGAGGUUGGGGCAUCUAUCUUUGGUGUGAUCUUCGCUGUGGUUGGGGGAUCCACCUUUGGAGCAAUAUUUGUCAUGGAAGGAACUCUUUGCAAGAUCAUUGCAGGGGGUUUUACAUCCAUUUGUUUUGGCACAGAUUGGGUAUCCCUCUUGAUGCUUUGCUGGAAACCGGCAGCUGACUUUACCAUAACAUCCCUGCGAGGUUGAACUGCAUUCUGCUUACUCAACAAGGAUGAAGGUGUAGCCAUUUGUUGGACAGGUUGUUGCGGAAGAACCCUAGAACCAUCCAACAUGGCUGACGGUGAAUCCUGAUCUCUUUUUAUCUUAAUGCGAAGUACCGUCCCUGCAAAAUCAUAAUUCAUGGUCAGUAACUCUAGAAGAGAAUGAUUACUAAAAUCAACAGAAACCUAAAAAUAUGGCCUGAAAGCCUCACCAUUCUUAUUUUGACUAGGGCCUGGGAGCACCACCUUUCUUCGCUUACUGCUGUCCUGAGAGCUCUCUGGUGAUCCAUGUACUGUCUGAAUGAAAGAAGGGGCCCCAUACUCUUCUGAGAGUCCACUCUUCUCCAACUGAUCAAAUAGUUCUUUGGGUGCAGUUUUGGACUCCAGGCCGGCUAUGCUGGUAUCUUCAUGCUUUCUCUUCUUAUGGCUACGUUUUGAAUGUUUUGUCUCACCACCACCCUGAUGGGAAGCUUUCUUGUCAUUCCUUUUCUCUUUCUUCUUUUCGGCCCUUUCCCUUUCUUUCUGGAGCUUCAGCCACCAGAUUAAUCGUCAGUUCUGAUUUAGAACAGACGAUGGCAAUGCAAUGCAGCAUAUUGCAGUAUGGUAAUGAAGUUUCAAACUUACACAAGCACACACAUAAAUAAUGCAGCACUAACACAGAAGUGCUACAAGUUACAGUUAGAAAUUAAUACAUGAAUCUUUCCACAAAUAAUAAUUCAGUACCCUUGAUAUAUACUCUGUAUAUUCUUUACACAGUUAUAGUAGAGUCAAAGGAAUUAGAGCACAUCAAAAUUGGCACAACUACUAAUGACACUACCCAGAAGACGUGUUAGCAAGCAGAGAACAGUUGACAGAAAACAUAGCAAUUGUGCUGCAAGGAAGUCAAUUUUAAGACAUCAAAUUCCAGAGCAGAGACAGCAAAAUAGACCACAAAGAAAACUUUAGACAAGAAUACAUGUACAACUCAAAUGGCAAGUGUCAAGAUUGUGAGACUACACACACAUGAACAAAAACAAACAAGAUAGCAAACAGGACAAGGCAAGUAGCGCCAAUAGAACCACACAUAAGUGACAUCACAAAGUGAGCACACUAAUUGGUGGUUAAUUGGUGCUGGUAACCGAAUCCAAGCAAGAGAAAGCCCAGGAAAAUAUGAAUUUUCUCAUUGCUAAAUUUGGACGGAUCUCCGGAAGUACUUUUCACAGAGAAUUUAGUCUCAAAACUAGCAAUGCGAUUGACAAAUCAAGACAUCAUGGGCGUCAAUCUGGGUACAGAAUCAAUCAAUCAAAUACUGUAGGCAUGUAACAAUGAAACUGGAAGGCGCAUCUGACAGACCACGUUUUGUUCGCAUUCAGGUUAUUUCCAAUUUAAGCACGCAAUCGAGGUUAGCAGGCUCGAGAUCGGGCCGCGGGGUUAGGUCAGCAGAAACAGGCAAUCGAUCUAACCGACGCAUCGGCGGCAAGGCUAGCCUCCCCCCGCAUGCGAUUCCCAAAUCGCACGCGCACACCCAACAGAUCUGAUCGGAACCAACAGGCAAGAACACAUGAUCCGAGGACGUGCGUGUUGUAAAUCCGAUGGUUCAACAAACCUUAGCGGUCGUCUCCGCCACGGGAACGGGGGGCACGGCCACUGGGUUUCGCACGUAGCCCGGCGGCGGGUAGGGGAAGCACCUCGACAUGGCGGCCGGUGUGAAUCCCGCGGCGCGGCGCGCGAACCCUCGGAAUCAAGAGCGCGACGGCAAGGCCCGCCCUAAUCGACCGCGAACCGAAGGGAAAUUUCGAUUCGCGGGAGGGAAAUCCGGCGGAGCGGAUUGGGGCCUCUCGGCGGGAGGGAUUUGGCUCUUGUGUGGCGGCUAGGGUUUCACGGGGAGGAGAGGGGAAAUUUUAGCGGCGGCUACGCGAGAUGGGAACGGAAGAAAAGGGUAGCCUCUUC